AGGAGCAUGUUCCUGAUAAACAGACAGCACCAGCUGGUUCCACGAAUGACAGUAUAAACUCAGAUGCCACAUCCGGUAAAGAGAUGAGCGAUGGAAACGAGGGCUCCGGCAGAGCUCGCAGUGAAUCACGAGUGCGAAAACCCAAUCGCAAAACGUCCCGCACGCGCUCCCGCCAAGACAAGAUCAACAGACCCAAACUCACCAUGAUCAAAGUGUGUGACACAGGAGACAAGAUGGUGGAGUGUCAGCUGGAGACUCAUAA